rnacentral:lncRNA from 1 species
CCUGCACACACCAGGGGCCCGCCUCAACCCUCCUCCUCUCUUGGAAACACGCCUCCUGCGGGAGGCAGCGGGAGGAGGUUCACGCGGCAUGACCGCGCUCUUGUCCUCCCGACGGCCUCGGAAGGUAAGGGGCGACGGGGGCCGGCUGGAAGCUUGGCGGGGCACGUCACCCACUGACCCGGCCACUCACCAGUGCACCAACACCGCACGGCCCUCAGCGCGGGCCUGACCGAUGAAGGCCACGCACCGGUCCAGAUGGCUGAGUAGGUCCGUCUCGGGUUUGUCCAGCGCUGGCACGAAGAGGCGCCAUAGAUCCUCGACCCCAGGCCCCGCCUUGAAGCUGGGCUCCUCCGAGUCCACUGUUAGCACGGCCGUGAUGCCCGCUUCCCUCAGGUGAUCUGGCUCCGCGACGGCCGCGGCCCCACCGAAAUACAAUCCUGGCUGCACUUCCAGCAUCUGCCCGGCACAGCUGACUCUGCUGGCGCUGGGGUUGCUGAGCUCGCAGCCAUCACUCGGGCCCGGAGCCUCCAACAUGGCCGCGCCCAGAGACAAGGCGGCUUCCUGCCCUACCAUCGAGUAGACUCCGGCUAGAACAUCCUUCCCCUGGGACUCGCCAGCCUCGGCGGCUCUGCUGCUCCCUCGGAGGACCACGUCGGCCGCAGGAAUCUGGACUUAUCGCUGAGGGGCGGAGCUUCGGCCCCAUUCAGCGCGGCCUUUCCACCCUUGUUCCCUCUGACCCCUACCCCCAAAGUUGAUGGUGAAGGAUAAGCUUCCCCAAAUACAGGGUUUCUCGAGCUCUUAGUAUUGAAAUUUUCAGGAAAGAGACAUCAGGAGCAGCUGAACUCAAAUGUGAAAUAAAUGUCGCACCAGCUGAAUCAGAAGCAUCAUUUUAUGCAUUUGAAGUAAAAUUUUUUUCAAUAUUAUGGAGCCAUC